rnacentral:tRNA from 1 species
AUAGUGGUACCUCAGUGGUAGAAGUCUUGCUUUCCAGGCGGGAGACCUGGGUUUGAUUCCUAGCCAAUGUA